rnacentral:rRNA from 1 species
GGAUUAGAUACCCUGGUAGUCCACGCCGUAAACGCUGUCUACUAGCUGUAUGUUGUUUUAUAACGAUGUGUGGCGUAGCUAACGCGCUAAGUAGACCGCCUGGGGAGUACGGCCGCAAGGUUAAAACUCAAAUGAAUUGACGGGGGCCCGCACAAGCGGUGGAGCAUGUGGUUUAAUUCGAUGCAACGCGAAGAACCUUACCAGGACUUGACAUCCAGAGGACUUUCCAGAGAUGGAUAGGUGCCUUCGGGAACUCUGAGACAGGUGCUGCAUGGCUGUCGUCAGCUCGUGCCG